UGACAUGCUCCUCAUCAAUUCUUGGACCUGUUAUUGCAAUUUUCGCUGCUCUAUCAACCAUUUCAUUUCCAUUAAUGCCAGAAUGUCCAGGUACCCAAACAAAAACAGGUCUGACAUUAUGCUCACUCAGGUCCACCAAACAACCUUGGCAUAAACGAGCCAGAGGAUCUCUCGUGUAUAUAUCUUUUACAGCAUUUAUGGCAUUUAAGGAGUCGCUAACUAUCAAAUAUGUUUUAUUUGUAGGUUCUACGGGAAUGUGUACCAGAGCCUUCCAUAAUGCAAACUGUUCCGCAGUAUACACCGAGGUUAUAGGGUUUAGGGCCCAGGAGUGGACCACACCAUCAACUACCAUGGCGGAUCCCGCCCCUUGUUGGUUUUUCGAGCCAUCAGUAAAGAUAACCGUUUUAUUUGUGUAGUUGUUAGCGAUCUCCUCAAAUAGACGUAUCAACCACGGGUAGCAAUUGUACUGGUUUUUCUGCACUAGGUGAGGUAUUGUUUCGUGUAGUUCCCCCAGGAUCUCUUUAAACCGUAUCCCGAGCGGUCGUGGGAUAGUUGGCCUGGCGUCAAAAUCAUUUCCGUCUGGAAAUAGGAAAACAUUGUUCGGGUGAGUGGGAUCUGAUUUUAUUUUAACCAUAUAAUUGAUCAUCAGCUGUUGUCUUCGCGUAUCCAAUGGAGGCAAGUUCGAUUCACAAUAAAGACUGUGUAUAGGAGUGGUAGGAAACGCGCCUAAACAAUACUUUAUUCCAGUAUUAUGCACCCUAUCUAAUAGUAAUAGCGACGAUUUACGUGCUGAUGCAUAUACAAUCGCUCCAUAGUCGAUUUGCGACAUAACUAAGGCCCGGUAUACGUUUAUUAGCAUUUGCACCUCAGCACCCCAUUUGGUGUUCAAUAUGCGCGUUCCACGUUAGUUUGCUAUCAAACGUCAAUCCCAGAAAUUU